CUAAGAAAUACUGAACUUUAAAAAUUAUCAUUUGAUACAGUUGUCAUAUAGAUUCAUGUCAAAAUUAAAAGAGGUUUUUUAAAGUUCCAUUCUAAAUAUUCUAAUUUCCUCUUUUAAAAAAUUGUUUAUUAUGUUAAAAUACCCAGUUUACUCCCUUCCCCCUUUCCCCCAUUAGAGAAGGCAUCAUUUAACAAAAAGAUAUGCAUAUGUAAAACUAUGUAAUGCUUAUUACUAUUUGUCAAUUCUUUGUCUAGAGUUGGACAUACAUAAGUCAUUCUUCAAACAAUAGUUAUGUUGCUGUAUAUAACGUUCUCGUGGUUCUGCUCAUUUCAUUCUUCAUAAUUCCAUGAUCCUGUUAACACUCCAUACAGGAUUUAAGAAUUCACCGGCUUGUGAUGAAUACCAAGAAACAUUGAAAAAGUCAUAUGAACUGAUUUAGAAUUAAGUAAGCAGAGUCAAGAAAACAAUAUAAUCAGAGACUACAAUGUAAACAGAAGGAAUUAUUACAAGCCAAAAAAGCAAAAAUAAAUGUAGCAAAAUUAUAGAGCUCCA
rnacentral:lncRNA from 1 species